GAUUAACGCUGGCGGCGUGCAUAACACAUGCAAGUCGAACGAUGAAACUUAAAUGAUUUCUUCGGAAUGAACUUAAGUGGCUUAGUGGCGGACGGGUGAGUAACGCGUGAGUAACCUGCCUUACACAAGGGGAUAGCCGUUGGAAACGACGAAUAAUACCCUAUGAUGUUUCUAUCUCGCAUGAGAUAUUAACCAAAGUGUUAGCGGUGUAAGAUGGACUUGCGUCUGAUUAGCUAGUUGGUGAGAAAAAAGCCCACCAAGGCAACGAUCAGUAGCCGGCUUGAGAGAGUGUACGGCCACAUUGGGACUGAGACACGGCCCAGACUCCUACGGGAGGCAGCAGUGGGGAAUUUUGCACAAUGGGGGAAACCCUGAUGCAGCGACGCCGCGUGAUUUAGAAGGCCUUCGGGUUGUAAAAAUCUUUUGUAUAGGAAGAAAAUGACAGUACUAUACGAAUAAGGUCCGGCUAAUUACGUG
rnacentral:rRNA from 1 species